AUUACAAAUUAGAUAUAUCCUGAGGUUCAAACAAUUAUACAAGAUGUCUCCCAAAGACUCAAAGGUGCACAGACAUUUUUGGGCUCUAGUUCAUGAGUGGACAUUUAUACAGACUUCUUGGGUGUAUUACAUUGUUCUCAACGUAUUGCACUAUUGUACUUGUGUAUUUAUUUUUUCCCUCUUUGAGGUUUUAACUGCGGAGUAUCUGUUUUUAUUGGCAUUUUAAUGGUGCCACUUGAAUAAUUUUGAUAUGCACUUUACAUUUGUUUAUGCAUAUAUUUCAUGUGUAACAGAGUGCAUUUUCAACCAGAACUUCCUGUGUGAUAACUAUUUAUAUAUAGGAUUUUAUAUCUUCCUGGGAACCAAGGGAAAAAUUGUCUUCCAAUAUGCCAUCCAUUUUAAAGAAUAGGAAGAUCCCAGCCUAUCACAUGACAUAACUGGGAAGCCCUGGAUGUCCUUUACAAUACAGCAGGGAUUGAUCAAAAGAAUAAAAGGAGAUGAAUAUAAUCAAAUUGUCCAGUAGAGGACACAAGUAAAUCGGCUGGGUCUCAGAAGGAUAUGACACGUAAAGCAUUUAUUGAUCCGCUCUUUAAAUAUUAUCACCAUUUAUAUAGAGCCAACAGAUUCCAUAGCGCUUUACAAUAUUAUACGAGGGGGAAUUUAACUAUAAAUAGGACAAUUACAAGAAAACUUACAGGAAGGAUAGGUUGAUGAGGGCCCUGCUCAAAGGAGCUUACAGUCUAUAAAGUAUUUUUGUUUUUGCACUAGCACUUUAGAAAAACAUAUUUAUGUUUGUUGAAAAGUUUAUUUUAUAUGAAGCACUAUACUAUUACUAUUGUGUGUAUUUUAGUUAUUUAUAUAUAUUUAUUUAGAAAAUGUUUGCAUACCCUUAAUUUUAAUGAAAACAUGGGUGAGCAGGAAAAACACAUUCAUAUUCAGCUGUAGGUUAUACCAGAAUGGCACAAUCAUAAAAUAUGGUAACAAAGAAAACCAUUAAAUGACCCCUGUUCAGAAGUCUGCAUGCCCUUAGUUCUUAAUACUGUGUAAUGCUCCCUUUAGCAUCAAUGAUAGCAUGCAGUCUUUUGUAAUAUUUGUCUAUGAGCCCCCUAAUUCUUGCAGGUGGGAUAGUUGCCUAUUCGUUUUGGCAAAAUGCUUUCAGGUCAUGCAAAGUCUUUGGUCAUCUUCCAUGAACGACACGUUUGAGAUCUCCCUAGAGUAGAGAUCAGGAGAUUGUGAUGGCCACUCCCGAAUUUUCACCUUUUUCUGCUGUAACCACUGGAGGGUCAACUUGGCCUUGUGUUUAGGGUUAUUGUCAUGCUGGUCCAAGAGCAUCCUAUGCGUACUCUUAGUGCAGAAGAAUGCAAAUUGUCUGCCAAGAUUCCCUGUGCCUUUAGAGCUCACACAUACCCAAAACAUCAGUGACCCACCACCAUGCCUCCCUUCCCUAUAGGCUUUGUUAACCCCUCUCCAAACAUAACGCUUAUGGUUGUGACCAUAAAGCUCUAUUUUGGUCUCGUCACUUCAAAUUACAGUGUGCAAGAAGCUGUGAGGUAUGUCAUGGUGGUGUUGGGCAUAAUAUCCCCAGGAUUUUUUUUUUUUAUAUACACAUUUUUAUUUUUGCAGUGCAUAGAAAUGGUACAAGCAGGCCUGAAGUGCCCCAAAAGCACUCCUCAGACGUUUCUUCUCGCUUAACAUGCGGGACAUAUGAGUAACAAGCACAGUAUUAUAAUAGCAGGCUAGGUUAGUUAUAUCAUUAAGCAUCAACAUUAAGAGUGAGGUUAUAAUGUAAGCAGGCUUAAUCAGUUAUGUCGUUAAAGCAUCAACAUUACUAGUGAGUUUAUAUUGUAAACAGGCUUAGUUAGCUAUGUUAUUAAAGCAUCAACAUCAAUACUAAAGGCAUCAGAACAUGGUGCCAUUAAUGCCCGAGGGUGCUGAAGUAGAAUUUUUAGUAUAAGGUCCUGCAGACAGUCAAGCACGAUAGGCAUAAUAUGGUAAACAUACGAGAGCAUUAACUUUGCUUGGACGCCAUGGGUUUACUCACAUGGAUGCUGAGUAAAGUAAUACGCAUUAAUGUAAAGCAUUAUACUGUUUGAAAACGUGUAAGUAACAUGUAAGUAAACUAAAAUAAAAUAACCACUGGGCUGCGCCCCCAUAACAAAUUCGAACAGAGGGAGAAUCUAGGUUAGUAGAGCUAUUGCCUAUGGUAGAGCAGCAGAUCAAGUUGUCUCAAGCCCUUAAACUAAAGCUUGUCGCUAAGGGGCCUGCAUAAGGCUGUUUAACCAAUGCCUAACUGUGGCAGGCCGCCAACCUUGGAAGGCAUGAGUCCACUGUUCCACAUGCUUGGGCACCACCAGUCCCAUGAGAUGUGCUCCUGUGUCACGCCAGCAGGACAAAAACCAUCCACAGGACCAGUAUCCCUCGGUGCUCGUGGUCGGUGUAGCUUAGUGUGUGUCAUGCCACCGUGCGGCCUGUGGGCCAGGACUCUGCCGCCGCUAGUAUGUCCCACAGAGGAACAACUGCAAGGUAUUGAGGUGGGUUGUUGAAGUCGUUGUUUUGUCGGUGGGCCCCUCACAGGUCUUUCCCUUGCUUGUGCCUUAACAAUACGCUGGGUAGGAGCUCUGUGUGGUUGUGUGCUUGAGGGCCUCUCUUUAUGGGCUGAGGUUUAUGUAGGUUGUGCCGCACGGGAUGACCGGGCUUUUGGCGACUUGGCAGUGUUUGAGGCACUUGCUUCCACUUACCCACCUUUGGCACAAUGUCAGGAUUCUUGGGUUUUGUCAUAGCUUUGCCGUGCUGCAGAUACGGGUGGAGCGGUGCUGCUGUAGCUGAUCUCUGUUUACUGCACUGGAGUUGGCCAGGUGGGAUAGGAGUGUUGGAUCUGGUGGCUAUGCGGGUCCAAAAAUCUCGGCAUAACUUUUCAAAACUGGCUUUGAAGCCCUGUGCCCAGUCCAGGCUAUCUAGAUUUGCUUGUUGCCGUGAAAGCCUUCCGCAUGGUGGUCAUCUUUAAUAAACCAUGCGGUCUGAGACUCCGCUGAUUGCAGGCUAUUUUGGUAAGUGGGGACCGGGAUAUCCCCCACCGGUCCCGGGGAGGGGCAACGGGGUGUCUGUGGUUGUUCUUCAGGAUGCGUAGUCCCCAGCAGGAGAUUGGCUGCCUCUCCCAGCCGUCGGGCCCUCAGUCCUGGUAGGCCGCAAGGCCAGAAGGUAAAGCACGCUUUCAGGAGCUGGUAAUUUGGGAUCCGCAAUAUCCCUGUCGUUUAAGGUGCUUGUCAAGCAAAAUUCUGAUCCUUCUGCCAGUUUUUUGUGUAGGUUUAGUCGAUUUAAAGUUUGUGGUGGCAGGAGCGUCCUGUAAGCAUGUCUGGCCAACUUGCAGAUCAGGCCCUACCCCCCCCCCAGGAUUUUUUUGUGUGGUAUUGGAGCAGUAAAUGCUUCUUUCUGGUAACUCAACAAUGCAGCUAACUUUUGUUCAAGUAUCGUCACAUUGUGCAACCACACCAUCUAUUUCCAGAACAGCUUGUAUUUCUCCUGAAGUUACCUGUGGGUUUUUCUUUGUAUCCCGAACAAUUCUUCUGGCAGUUGUGGCUGAAAUCUUUCUAGCUCUACCUGACCUUGGCUUGGUAUCCACUUUUUAAUAAGUGAUUGAACAGUACUAACUGGCGUUUUCCUUUUCCAUCUUUAUAAAGUUCCAUUUCCUUGUUACGCAGGUUUUUUGACAGUCCUUUUCUGCUACUCAUGUCUCAGUAUCUAGCCUACUCAGUGCAUCCAUGUGAGAGCUAACAAACUCAUUUACUAUGUAUACACAGGGACUAAUUGCAAUUUAAUAGGUGUGGAAAAUAACCUUUAAUUGACAUUUUAACCUGUGUGUGUCACCUUGUAUGUCUGUAACAAGGCCAAACAUUCACAGGUAUACAAAUUCUUGAUCGGGGCCAUUUAGGUGAUUUCUGUUAAAAUUAUGAUUUAAAAAGGAACCAAACAACUAUGUUAUAAUAAAUGGCUUCAUAUGAUCACUAUCUUGAGAUAUAAAUCCAGCCCUGAAAUUAUUUUAUUAACCGUAAAUGGUCAUAGUUUUUUGUUUUGUUUGUUUUUGUCACCCACUAUAUAUUCCAGUGAGUAACACACCAACUGAAAUGGAAUGUAACAUAACUUAAAAACAAUAGCAGUGUAACUGGUGUUUGGUGUUCUAGAAAAGCAUAUAUCUGUCAUAUUGCUUAUUGUGUGUCUUUCACUCAGGAUGUUCUGCUUUUGUGCUGUGAUGUGCAGAACUGUAUUUCACAUUUUAUGUUUUAUUUCCUGUAAUAAUAUACAAAGUCAUCUAACAAAAGGGAAACACAAGUUAUAUUUACUGGAAAUAUCAAAUAUCAAUUCAGAACAUGAAAUAAUAAUAUUUUCCCUUUCUGUGAUAUACUAAAAAACACAAACUUAUAAAAGAAUAGAAUUAAAAGUAUAUUUGAAUAGUUGCGACCCCAAAUUCUACUUCCUCUGUCUGGGAGAUUGCUCUGUUAUUUUUAGAAAUCUUUAAAAUUCCUCGGAUUUGGGACAAUCAUGUCACAUAGUAUAGGAGCCUGUGGUCUCAGUUUACUUUUGACACAGAUGAAGUUGACUGUACAAUAUAUGAGUAUGAACAGAGUUCUUUUUAUCAUCUUACAUUACUCGAACAUUAACCCCUCAAGGACACAUGACAUGUGUGACAUGUCAUGAUUCCCUUUUAUUCCAGAAGUUUGCUCCUUAAGGGGUUAAAUACAGGGUUAUUCUCUAAAGUUAGAAUUCCAAGAGAAUUUCAGAAUUAAGGCCAGAGUAGCAGAAUUGAAAGCAUAGUUGACUUAGAGGAUUUUUCCAGUUUGGCUACUUUGGCCUUAUAUUUAAAAUUUUCUUUGAAUUCACCUUACAUUCUCACUCUAGUAAUUAACCCUGUAAGUCUAUCAUUCACUUACAACUCCAGGGUAGUACAAUUAUACGUAUUCAUGAAACACUAAUUUAUGCGCACUCUACAAUGGGUAAAACAAGACAAGCAUAUAGGGUACCAAGAAAAAGUAUGUGAACCCUUUAAAAAUUACUGCAUUUAUGUAUAAACGUGUCUUCAUCUAAGUUAAACUAAUCAACAAAUACAAUCUGUUUUAACUUAACAUAUAUUAUUGUAUUGUUCUUGUACAUAUUGAAUAUAUCACUCAAAUAUUCACAGUAUAGUUUGGGAAAAGAGUGUGAAAACCUAGGCUAAUGACAUCAACAAAAGCUAAUUCAGUUUUAAAUUGUCAAAUCUGGUUCCCAAUUAAAACAAGAUUGGAGGUGUGGGUUAGCGCUACUUCCAGUCUAGCCUGUAGCCGAUAGUUGGAGUGCACUCCUGCUCGAUGGGGAAUAUCCUUGUGGUGAGGGAGAAUUUAAAGUGUCCCUUUCGUCUGUAUACUUCCCGAAUGCAUCCACAAGUGUAGAACAGAUACGUGCGUAUAGAUUGCUCUCCAGCUGUAACAGCGCAUGUUCUGGAGACCAGAGUGGAUGGGUAUGGAAUGGGUGGCUGUGAUUGGUUGAGAGUGUCAGCUGACCUUUUUCAGCCAGUCCAGUGUCCAUUGCAUGUAUGAAUUGAUAUUGCUAGGUGGAAGUGUGUAAUCUAUGUCGUACUGCCAUAGCUCCAGCAAGAGACAGGUCUGUGGGUCACCAGGGACCGUUAUUUAGUGUUAAACUGCUCAAAAAUCAUUUAGCACUGCAUGGAGAGGCAACUCAAAGGGAUUAAAUGCCAAUACGAUGAGAUGACAUGGUUAUAGCAUCUACUGUGUCCCUUUAAAAUGUGUGGAGGUCUGCAAACACAUUUAUGUAACAUGCAUAGCAGAGGCGUAACUAGAAACCAUGGGGCCCCGGUGCAUAAAUUGCCCUGGGCCCGCUCCCAUACGUUUCCCAUGUCCUCCCCCCCCCACCACCCCCACUUCCUCCUAGCUCUGAUGUCAUCUCAGGGGGCCGCGGCACUGGAAAUUCAUUGCAUGGGCCACCAGAUGGACCCCUUCAAGGCCGUGGUCACAGGGGUCCGCAGGUCAGCUGCGACCCCUGCGAAGUGGUAGUUCCGCCACUGAUGCAUAGGUUUCAAAACAAAAACAACACGGGACUGCUUCCUUUAUUGCAGCCAAACAGGGAAGGAGUGCUUGCAGGUAUUGUGAAAUGUAACAUGUGGCUAAAUGUCACAAGAUGUACCUGUUCUGAGCUCAUGUGACUGGAUGUACCUUAACCCAUUGUAUGUGUUAAUUAUUCUCUCUAACCUUCCAGCAUAUACAAACUAUGAGAAAUGUCAGUGUAUUCUUCUUGGUAGAAGGCAAAGUACAGGGCCAGUGCAAGGAUUUUUGGGUACAGAGGCAAAAAUGCAUUUUGUUCACCCCCAAAAAAUCUUUUGUGUUUUGUACCCCCUCUUUUACAUGUCUUACCCCUUUAGUGUCUUAUCUUAUCCCCUAUUUGUCCCCAUUGUGUGUUUUGCACUUCCUUUGGGUAUCUCUUUCAACUCCCCUUGCAUCUCUUAUCCCCCCUCUUUGUAUGACUUUUACAUCCUCCUGCAUUUUGUGUCUUACUCCCCCCCAGCCCCUUUGUGUCUUUUACUCUUCCCAACUCCUCUGUGUGUGUAUCUUUCACCCCCAGCCCAUCUGUCUCCCCCUCAGUCUGUCUGUGUGCCUCCUAUUCCCCUUCUCCAGCCACUCUGUGUGUCUCCCCACACCCCCAGGAUCUCUGUGUCUUUUUCACGCCCCAGCAACACUGUGUAUUCCGCCCCCAAGGCCUUUCUGUGUGUCUAUUUCAUCCCCAGCCCAUCUGUGUGUCAUUCUCCCCCCUCAUGUCCCUCUGUAUGUCUUUCUCCCCACUCACACCCCGCUGUGUGCCUCUUUCUCCCCCACCAGCCCCUUUGUGUGUCUCUUUCACCCCUUCCCCAUUUAUUUGUAAUCUCUUCCACGCUGCCCUUGUCCGUUAGAUGUCUCCCAUCUCUGUCCCUUAGUGGUCUCCUCUCCCCCACCAUCCGGCACCUUAUUAGUCUCUCCCCCCCCGUCCCUUAGUUGUCUCCCCUUAGUUGUUUCCUCUCCCUCCCUUCCCUGUCCCUUAGUGGUCCUCUCCCCUCUUUUCCCUGUUCCUUGGUGUACCCCUCCAUCCCUUCUCUGUCCCUUCGUGGUCCUCUCCCCUCCCUGUUGCUUAGUGUUUCUCUCCCCUUCUCCCUCUGUUGCUUAGUGCCCCCCCCCUUUGGUGUUCCUCUCCCCUCCUUUCCCUGUCCCUUAGUGGUCCUCUCCCCUCCCUGUUACUUGCUGUUCCUCUUCCCUCCCUUCUCUGUCCCUUAGUGCAGCUCUCCUCUCCCUACCCUGUCCCUUAGUUGUCCCCCCCGUCCCUUAAUCAACCCCUACCCCUCUUUUAGUGUUCCUCUCCCCUCCCUGUGACUUUGUGGUCCUUUACUACCCACCCCCUUAGUGUUCCUCCCCCUCCCUUCCCUGGUGUUCCACAUUACCACUUUUGUAGUGUUGCCGAGUGGAAGCGGACCGCGGUACAGGAGCUUCUGUUUUCUGUACCCGGACUAAAAUUAAGUGUUCUCUCGGUGAGCUCUUCCAGUCAGUCCGGCAGGGAACAGGAAUCAGAAGCUCCUGGCCACGCUACACUGAGUGACUGGCAGGAGGGAGUGCUGUGCGCUUCCCUCCUUCCCGGUCACUUGUAACUUGCGCCCCCAGAGCCGGUAUGUCCUAAGCCGGCCACCUGUGCCGCCUUAUGGAUGCACUUGCCCUGGCCUAAGUAUAAAUAAGUUAUGGUGAGAGAAAAACAAUAAAAACGUAGGUAAAUUAAAAUGUAUAUAUCAUGAUACUUUUCUGUGCUCAUUUGCAUGCUGAAUUGGGAAUACUGGGAAAGUUGUGGAAACUUGAUUCUUGGAAAUAUUUAGAUGACAUACAACAAAAAUCUACAUUUGGUUGAAAUGCCAUAUAGAAAAUAAAAAUAUGCGGAGGAUUGGGCAAUAUGGCCCACAUAUGGUGGUAUUGCCCAAGACUAACUUAAUACUGGAAAUCGAUACACAACUUAAUUGUUAAAGUGAACAGGAAUAUAGACAAUUUCACAUCUGAUCUAGCUCUCUUUAAAAAAUUCCCUGAAUCCAUCAGUAGAAUCGAUAGGAUUAUAGCAGGCCACAUACUGAUAGCUGCCACCACAUGUCUACCUAGAUAUUGGAAGUCUAAACAUACACUCUCUAUCAAGGAAGUACUGACACUAACAUUAGAAAACAAAGCAUACGAACUAUCACAUAGAAAUAACACACACAUUUUUGCACAAUUAAAAUACCACUGGUAUCAAUGGGAAACCGAUGUCAAAAAAACACAUAACCUGUAAUAACUUGUAAUGUUGUGUUAUUCAACUCAAGUGCCUUGUACUUUAACAUAUUUACUGUUAUAAUGGAUGGAUGGCUUCCCCCCCCCAUCUCCCAGUUGUCACCCUUCCUUUCCCUUCCCUAAUAUAUUGUUCUUUAUUAUUUGUAAAUUCUGCAAAAUGUUUUCAAUAAAAAUUAUUUGAAAAUAAAAUAAAA
rnacentral:lncRNA from 1 species